rnacentral:rRNA from 1 species
GAUGAACGCUGGCGGCGUGCCUAAUACAUGCAAGUCGAGCGAACGGACGAGAAUCUUGCUUCUCUGAUGUUAGCGGCGGACGGGUGAUUAACACGUGUAUAACCUACCUAUAAGACUGGGAUAACUUCGGGAAACCGGAGCUAAUACCGGAUGAUAUUUUGAACCGCAUGGUUCAACAGUGAAAGACGGUCUUGCUGUCACUUAUAGAUGGAUCCGCGCUGCAUUAGCUAGUUGGUAAGGUAACGGCUUACCAAGGCAACGAUGCAUAGCCGACCUGAGAGGGUGAUCGGCCACACUGGAACUGAGACACGGUCCAGACUCCUACGGGAGGCAGCAGUAGGGAAUCUUCCGCAAUGGGCGAAAGCCUGACGGAGCAACGCCGCGUGAGUGAUGAAGGUCUUCGGAUCGUAAAGCUCUGUUAGUAGGGAAGAACAUAUGUGUAAGUAACUGUGCACAUCUUGACGGUACCUAAUCAGAAAGCAACGGCUAACUACGUG